CCUUUUAGUGUAUUAUUAGUUAUAUUAUUUAUGGAAUUUUAAAAUCUAAAGUGAUAAACCCUAAUGGUUAUGGGUAAUGUCUAUAAUGCCCUUCAUGGUAGACAUGAGAAGUCUAAACUACCCUUGUGCAUUAUUAAAGGAAGAAACCAAUUAUUAGUGUGGAAAUGACUAAAAUGCCCUUUUUGUCCAUUUAGUGUAUUAUUAGUGUAUUAUUGGAGGAAUCUAGCAACAAAUCAUGGCCAACAUCACUACCCUACCAAUUGAGCAUCCAAGACUCAAUUAUGCUCAGAUUCAAUCAACCAAUCUAGCAUCCAAGGCAUUUGAAUUAUUCUAUAAAUAGAUUGGAGAGAGUUAGCAUUUUUUGUACACUAAAAUUCAUCCAACUCUCAUCCUUAAGCUUCUCUCUCUAAAACCUACGAAUUAUUGUAGCAUAUCAGUCCCUAAACAAAGCCCAACCAUCACAAACAACAAAUCAGAAGCAUCAAGAAGCCAGAAAUCAAAAAUCAAGCUUGAAAAGGUAGGAAAUCCUAAAUUCUAGAAAUCCUUCGAUUCGAUGUUAAUUGAUGCAAUUGAUUGUUUAAAGUAGUGUAAUAGAGAGUCUAUUAAUGUUCUGGGUUGUAAAAUCAUGAACCCAUAACAUCAAAGUGCACGAAUUUGAAGAUUUAAACAAGUUGGAAAAACCGAAUUCUGUUAUUUUUCACCAAAUGUCAGAGGCUAUAAAUCUUUGGUCGAUCUCGAGUUUUGUUUUUUAAAAGUUGUUAUAGGUAGCCUGAUAUGUGGUCUUUAAUCUCCAAAAGGAAUAAAGUUCAUAGCUAUUGUAGAUCGGGAUUUAUAAGCGGUCAAAGUGGGUUGACCGGCAUUGACCGGCUGUUCUUCAAACCCAGAAAAUAUUCUAAGUGUCCAGAAAAUAUUAUUUUGGAAAAUGUCAGGCCUUAUAUCUCGGUUAUCUUUAAUGUGUUUUGUGUUCUAAAGGUUGAUAUGUGUAUCUUGUUAUGUGGUAUUUAACCUCCAAAAAGAAUCAGGUCCAUAUAUAUUACGGAUUAAGAGUUAUUUAAGGUCAAAGUGGGUUGACCGGCAUUGACCAGAAAAUUCUGGGCAGCCCAGAAUUUUCUAAGUGUUAAUUUUUCUGACAAGGUUUGACCAUACUUUAGAUGCUUGAUUUCUUGUUUUUAUGAUGAUGUUAAGUGUUAGAGUUGUAGUCCUACAUGUUGUCUACACACUGGAAUUGAUAGAUCACAUAAACGUUACACGAUCAUCAAGUUAUAGAGGUCCAAAGUAGGCACCUCGAACUGUUCUUCGUGAAGAACAGCUUUGGUAGCUACUUUGAUGGCUGAUUUAUCCCAGAUCUGAUGUUUGUUUAGAGGUUAUGAUUGUUGGAUCUUGUAGUCUUGUAUUUCCUCUACAAGACCCAAUUUAUAGAUUGUCCAAAUUCGUUAAGAUGAGAGAGUUAUUCACGGUCAAAGUAGGCCACUCGGUUCUGCCUUAUGAAGAUCUGGGUAGGCUCAAGAACACCUAUAGCGACACUUCUGUCACUAUAGGGGCCUUUAGCGACAGUUUUAAUUAUUUUAAUUUCUGAUUUUCCGAAAAAUGAUUUAAAAAUUAGAAAAAUUAGAUUUUAAUUAUUAAAAAUACCAAAUAAAUUAUGAAAAAUUAUUUUAAAGUCUGAAAAAUAGUUUUUAAUUAUUUUGAGUAUAUUUCAUAAAUAUUUAAUAUUUUUGGAAUAUAAAAGGUAUUUAUUUAUUUAAUUAUAAUAUUAAAUAAAUGAUUUAAAAAUAGUUUUAAUUCAUGAAAAAUCAUGAAAAAUUAUAUUAUGGUAUAAGAAAAUAUUUUAAGUUAUUUCCCAUGACUUUUAAUAUUUUGUGAUGAAUUUCAUUAAUUAAUUAUAUAUUAAUGAUAUUAAAGUUAUUUAAUGAUUAUAUUAAAUAAUUUAGUUUAAAAAUGAUUUUAAUAUUAUAAAAAUCAUUUUAAAUGAAAUUAAGGUAUUUAAAAAUAUUUUAAGUUAUAAAAUAUAACUUUUAAUAUUUAAAGGAUAAUUUCAUUAAUAAUUUAAUAUUAAUGAUAUUAAGAUAAUAUUAAUGAUAUUUAGUUUAUUUAAUAAUUAUUAUUAAAUAAAUAGUUUAAAAAUGGUUUUAUUUAUUUAAAAAUCAUUUAAAGAGGAUAUUAAGGAUUUAAAAAUAUUUUAAGUUAUAAUUAAUGACUUUUAAUAUUUGGAUGAAUAGUACAUUAAUAUUUAUAUAUUAAUGGUGAUUAUUUAAAAAUGAUUUUAAUUGUUUUAAAAAUCAUUUAAGGGUAAUAUAAAUGUUUUAAAAAUAGUUUGAGUUAUUAUAAAUAACUUUUAUAUUUUGGCAAUGGUUUCAUUAAUAGUUUAAUAUAAAUUAAUUAUUAAUGAUAAUGGAAUUGUUUAAUGUUUAAAUCAUUUAAUUAUGAUUCCGAUGUUUGAAAGUUAUAGCCGGCCAAACUAGCUGACUUGAGAACCGAUUAUGAAGUUAUGAAGUUUUGAGGAACACCUAUAGUAACAGUUAUAUCACUAUAGGCCCGGUAGUGACAGAUUUGAAUUAUUUUAAAUUUUUCAAUUUCUGGAAAAUUCGAAAAUGAUUAAAAAUAAAAUGUUUGAUAUUUACAGAUGUUGAGGUAUAGGAUAAGAGUCUUAGACUCAGUAUUUACCCGAUAAAGCUGUCGGUACGCCGACAAAUGUCAGACCCUAUAAUAGAAAGAAAAGACUUCUGUAAGAGCAUGGAUGAGAUAUUUGAAAAAUGUAUAAAAAUAUUUCAAGUAUAGAAUAUGAACUAAAAGUAUGAUCACUGCGAUUAUGUGAUGACGUGAUUAGACUAUGUGCUGACUGUAAUAGACAGUACUAUGUGUUAUGAUAUAUUGUUCUAAUCGAACGAAUGAUCUGAUUAUUGAUAGGUUGUGAUAAAGAGAUAAAACCUAAGUUGAGAUUUGUAAUCAGCGAAUCAGGCAAGUAUCUUACCUUUGCAUUUCCUUUAUGCAAUGGACAUGAGUAAGAAGUUUCAGAAUUAUUCUAUUCCUGUACAGAUUAUGUACGCUUUGAUUAUCAACAUGUUAGCUCAGAUAUAUAUUCUGUUAAGUUGAUUUCUAAAUGGUUAUACAAGUGUCCCCACUUGGAUAAUCAUGGCAUUUAUUCACAUGUUGAUAUACCUUUGUCAAUUACCCGUAUACAUAUAUGUUGAAUUACAUAUUAUUGUUGAGCAAGAUUAAAAACCUUCGGGUUUGGAACCAGGCAUGUAUGAACAUCCCGAUAAUGGGAAAAUUUUUAUGCGCUUCGGCGGACAAAGGGUGAGCGAUGAAUUUCGUUCAAGUUAUGUAGUAUUGAUCAAUACAGGGUACAACGGGGCUGAUCACCCUCCGUGCCCGUAAGUUAUGACGGUUUGCGGAUGAAUUUCUGCUAAACCUUUUCGAAAAUGAAAAACAAUGUUCAUAGUAUGUUUCUUAAACCCUAUUCAUGGGUGGAGCCUAAUUUCAAGAAAUUGAAAGAGAGUUGUUAUGUGAAUCUUUUAUCAGUACAGAUUACUUCACAACUUUUGAUUCGUUGUAGAAGUGUUAUGUAAAGAGAAUACUUAUAUUCUUUCAGCUUAUAUAUAUAAUUGCUAUUACUUGCUGGGCACUCAAAUGCUCAUCCUUGCUUAAAUUAAAUGUUUUCAGUUAUGUAUGAGCAACCUGAAGGCUCAGGCACGAACAA
rnacentral:lncRNA from 1 species